AUACGGAGGGUGCAAGCGUUAAUCGGAAUUACUGGGCGUAAAGCGCGCGUAGGCGGCUUGAUAAGUCGGAUGUGAAAUCCCCGGGCUUAACCUGGGAAUUGCAUUCGAUACUGUCAGGCUAGAGUGUGGUAGGGGGAAGUGGAAUUUCCGGUGUAGCGGUGAAAUGCGUAGAUAUCGGAAAGAACAUCAGUGGCGAAGGCGGCUUCCUGGAUCAACACUGACGCUGAGGUGCGAAAGCGUGGGGAGCAAACAGGAUUAGAAACCCGUGUAGUCC
rnacentral:rRNA from 1 species